rnacentral:rRNA from 1 species
CCUACGGGAGGCAGCAGUGGGGGAUAUUGCACAAUGGGGGAAACCCUGAUGCAGCGACGCCGCGUGGGUGAAGAAGCGUUUCGGUAUGUAAAGCUCUGUCAGCAGGGAAGAAAAUGACGGUACCUGACUAAGAAGCCCCGGCUAACUACGUGCCAGCAGCCGCGGUAAUACGUAGGGGGCAAGCGUUAUCCGGAUUUACUGGGUGUAAAGGGGGCGCAGACGGCGAGGCAAGCCAGAAGUGAAAGCCCGGGGCCCAACCCCGGGACUGCUCUUGAAACUGCGUGGCUGGAGUGCAGGAGGGGCAAGCGGAAUUCCUGGUGUAGCGGGGAAAUGCGUAGAUAUUAGGAGGAACACCGGUGGCGAAGGCGGCCUGCUGGACUGCAACUGACGUUGAGGCUCGAAAGCGUGGGGAGCAAACAGGAUUAGAUACCCGGGUAGUC